GACGAACGCUGGCGGCGUGCUUAACACAUGCAAGUCGAACGGAAAGGCCCUGCUUUUGUGGGGUGCUCGAGUGGCGAACGGGUGAGUAACACGUGAGUAACCUGCCCUUGACUUUGGGAUAACUUCAGGAAACUGGGGCUAAUACCGGAUAGGAGCUCCUGCUGCAUGGUGGGGGUUGGAAAGUUUCGGCGGUUGGGGAUGGACUCGCGGCUUAUCAGCUUGUUGGUGGGGUAGUGGCUUACCAAGGCUUUGACGGGUAGCCGGCCUGAGAGGGUGACCGGCCACAUUGGGACUGAGAUACGGCCCAGACUCAUACGGGAGGCAGCAGUGGGGAAUAUUGCGCAAUGGGCGGAAGCCUGAUGCAGCAACGCCGGGUGCGGGAUGACGGCCUUCGGGUGGUAAACCGCUUUCGCCUGUGACGAAGCGUGAGUGACGGUAAUGGGUAAAGAAGCACCGGCUAACUACGU
rnacentral:rRNA from 1 species